GACGAACGCUGGCGGCGUGCUUAACACAUGCAAGUCGAACGGAAAGGCCCUGCUUUUGUGGGGUGCUCGAGUGGCGAACGGGUGAGUAACACGUGAGUAACCUGCCCUUGACUUUGGGAUAACUUCAGGAAACUGGGGCUAAUACCGGAUAGGAGCUCCUGCUGCAUGGUGGGGGUUGGAAAGUUUCGGCGGUUGGGGAUGGACUCGCGGCUUAUCAGCUUGUUGGUGGGGUAGUGGCUUACCAAGGCUUUGACGGGUAGCCGGCCUGAGAGGGUGACCGGCCAAAUUGGGACUGGGGUACGGCCCAGACUCCUACGGGGGGCAGCAGUGGGGAAUAUUGCACAAUGGGCGGAAGCCUGAUGCAGCAACGCCGCGGGCGGGAAGACGGCCUUCGGGUUGUAAACCGCUUUCGCCUGUGACGAAGCGUGAGUGACGGUAAUGGGUAAAGAAGCACCGGCUAACUACGUG
rnacentral:rRNA from 1 species